UGUUGAUGUGUUGUUGAGCUGUUGUGCUGUUGUGUUGUUGUUUAUUUCGUAUUUUUCCAUCAUGUUUAUAGAAUUUUGCAUAUAAUUUUAAAGAAAAAAAGUUGGUUUGCCUGCUGUUUUGUAUGCUUAUAGUAUGUGUGCAUUGAUAAUUUUUGAUUAAAUGUUUCAAGUAACUAUUGCUACUUUUUAUCCCUUGCCAACAAAAAACAACACUUUUUUUCCUGUUAAUAGUGAAAAAUGCAGCAAAAAACAACAAAAGUAACUACAAUAUAAAUAUUUUUUUUCUUUUUUUAUUUUUCACAAAAUGUUUAACCCAAAUAAGCCAGUAUGUAGACACGUUUUCUAUGUCAAUCAUGUUAAAUACAAAAAGAAAAGCAAAAACUUAAACGAAAAAAGCCAACUUUAUCAAAAUUAAAUUGGUUGUUUGUUUGUUUAUUUAUAAGGUCUCUACUCGAUAUUGUCCAACAACUGACAGAGUUAAGUUGAUUGUUUAGGAACUUUUUGUGGUUGAAAAUUAUAUUAGAAAAAAGAUUUUAAAAAUACUAACAACUUAAGAAAAGAAAAAGUUAUUAAUAAAUAAACAGAAAUGGAAAAUUAUAAUUACUAUCCCUUAUAAAACUAAAAUUUACUCUCUUUUUCAAAAAACGUUGAGCCUUCUGCUUUCUUUGUUAACAUUUACCACUGUUAUCCUUCUCUAGGUUGGCAUCACUACUUGUACUUUGUUUAUAUUAUUCUUCACUUUCUCAAGAUUUAGCUCUUGUAAAGUUGAUUUGUUUGGGUGUUCUGUUUUUUACAAGCAUCUAAUUAUUCUUUUUUCAUCAACUACUAUUUUGUUAUUUUUAUACUUUAGUCUAUACCACAAUCCGUAUUAUAGUCUGGACCUCAAUUUACAUAUAAUAUAGCAUGGACUAUUGUAUGUGCUAUAUCCAAUAGUCUGGACUAAAACCUUUUAUCUGAACAAAAGUCAGUAGCAAAACUUAAGUCUGAAAGACAGUCAAUAGUCCAGACUAUAGUUUAUAUUACUGUUGUACAGAUAAUAGUCUUUGGACAAUAGUCUAAAGUACUGACUAUAGUCUGAACGAUAGUCUAUAGCCCAGACCAUUGUUUAUAUUUUUACUAUAGUAUGUACUACUAUACGUUUGACUAUAGUCUGUACCAUAUAAUACCAUAGCUUAAUCUAUUGCACCAGAGUCUAGACUACAGUCUGCACUAUAGUUUAGACUACAGUUUAUAAUAUAGAUUAGACUACAGUCAGUACUAUAGUCCAGACUACAGUCAGAACUAUAGUCAGUACUAUAGUCCAGACUAC